UGAGGAAUAUUGGUCAAUGGGCGAUAGCCUGAACCAGCCAAGUCGCGUGAGGGAAGACGGUCCUACGGAUUGUAAACCUCUUUUGUCGGGGAGCAAUAAAGCGUACGCGUACGCAGAUGCGAGUACCCGAAGAAAAAGCAUCGGCUAACUCCGUGCC
rnacentral:rRNA from 1 species